rnacentral:rRNA from 1 species
GUGAGGAAUAUUGGUCAAUGGGCGAGAGCCUGAACCAGCCAAGUCGCGUGAAGGAAGAAGGAUCUAUGGUUCGUAAACUUCUUUUGCAGGGGAAUAAAGUGCAGGACGUGUCCUGUUUUGUAUGUACCCUGAGAAUAAGGAUCGGCUAACUCCGUGCCAGCAGCCGCGGUAAGACGGAGGAUCCGAGCGUUAUCCGGAUUUAUUUGGUGUACAGGGUGCGUAGGUGGUUUGAUAAGUCAGCGUUGAAAGUUUGCAGCUUAACUGUAAAAAUGCCGUUGGAACUGUGGGACUUGAGUGUAAAUGAGGUAGGCGGAAUGCGGGGUGUAGGGGUGAAAUGCAUAGAUAUCACGCAGAACUCCGAUUGCGAAGGCAGCUUACUAAGCUACAACUGACACUGAAGCACGAAAGCGUGGGGAUCAAACAGGAUUAGAUACCCGGGUAGUCC